GGGGGCGGCCGUGCCCCGCCUGCGAGUGCGCGCCCGCUGUGUCCGACACUGCCCCGGGGGCCGCGCGGCCCGCCGCCCGCCGCUCUCACGAGGAACAGCGCGGGAUGCGGGGCGCUGGGCGCGGACGCAGGACGAGAGGACACCCCUGGGCACCACGCUCCCGUCAGGCGCCGCCACGGGCACCUUAAAACAUGUACUGAUUUGGUUGGAUUGGCGAAGUCUGGUAGCAUGAAAUGCAUCUUAUGACAUUGUUACAUUAAUGGAAGGACAGCAAGCACUCCAGUUGCAGGAACCAAUUCUGGGCCUGUGCUAUAUCUCACCUGAUCCACAGAAUGGAGGGUUCCACAGAUGCUGUCAAGGGCAGAGGGAGAGAAGAAUCAAAUUAGUUUAUAACAAAGUCAACAUAGAGGUGACUUCAGAGCUGGGAUGAGAACAUGACUGGGAGAAGUCAAGGACUUGAGGAUGUCAGAAAAGGAAAGAAUAAUUGGUUGACAGAGCUGAAAGGCUGGAGCCCAAAUUAUUCUGCACACUGCACUGAGCCCAUCACUUAAAGCCCCAGAGAGACUCUGCCCUGCAUACGUCGGCCUCCCCACCGUGCUCUCUCAAUCGACCACCUUUCUCGGUGUCUCCUCAAUGAACCUGAGGAACAGUACAGUACUAAAGAUGAAGAUAAAAACUCCGGACCUAACUCCAGCCUAGGGGGACAAAGGCCAGACCCCCCUGCCCCAACCUUGCGAGGUCCCCGAAGGCGCCCCCUUUUGACGUCACCGUACCCACCAUAGUGCUGGCGCCGCGGGCAGCGGGCCGAACCGGGAAGAGAACAGGGUGCUGCGAGCAG